AGAGGGAGCAACACAUCUUCCUGAAGACCAAGAGGGGAAUUAUGGUCAAGCAAAAUACUGAGCCUCCUUCUUCCCACUUCCAACCAGGUGCUUUGUGGGCGCUUCUUGACAUUUUGGAGAGGAGAAAACUCCAGAGAUGAGCUGAGCUCAUCCCACACUUGCCAGCCAUCCCAAAGGGCAGGCUCACGUGGAAAAUGGCAGCAAGCAUGAAGUUAUCUUCCUUGCAAAAUCUGUAGCCGAGAAAGCAACCCAGAGCACAGAAAGGAAAGCCACCUUGCUGCAAGCCCUGGCAAACACCCCAGGUAGAUGCAGGUGAAGAUACCAUCUUCCCUGUUAUCAAGUCAGCCUUACUUCAGCCAUGUCCGUGCUGAGAACGUGACGUACCAUGCAUGCAUGGACAUCCUGGGAUGCACAAGUAAGUCAAGUGACAG